ACUUUUAGAUUGAUUAAAGGAGAGACCAUUGGAACCAUAUGUCAUACUCACUGCUGUAGCAUAUUACUAUAUAAUAAUCUCAAGUUUGUUGCAUAAAAUGAUUCAAGUUGAAACAGAAGAGUUCCACUAAAUCAAGAUGCAAAUAUGGUCAAUGAAGGUUUCCAACAACAAUGAAGUGGCAUGAAGAAAAGCAGGCAAAACCAAAGUUUAUGCCUAACCAAGCACGCCACAACUCUGGAAGUUAGUUAGAGAAAAG
rnacentral:misc_RNA from 1 species